GCCGAACAUCUAGCCUACAAAUUUUUAAACGACCCACCACAACCUUUCUUUACCAAUAAAACAUUUCAACAUUCAAGUAAAGGCGAUUAAAAAAAUUCUAAGAGCUUCAACUGCAGUACCGCAAGGGAAAAAUGAAAUAUAAGUGAAAUAAAAUCAAGCACAGAAUAGUAGAGACUUAAACUCGUACCUUUUGCAUCAUGGUCUAGCAAGUCCGUAUCAAGCAAAAUGAGAUUAAAGUUUGAUCCCCCGAAACUAGACGAGCUACUUCAAAACAGCCUAUAGGGCCAACCCGUCUCUGUUGCAAAAGAGUGGGAAGAUUUUCAAGUAGAGGUGACAAGCCAACCGAGUCUAGAGAUAGCUGGUUAUUCAAGAAAAGAAUUUUAGUUCUACCUUAAGCUUCUCCGUGAUACUAAACAAGCCCACAAACUUAAGAGCUAUUCAAAUAAGGCACAGCUUAUUUGAAAAAGGAUACAACCUAAACUUUAGGGUAAGAGCAAAUAAUCUAAUAAAGUAGGCCUAAAAGCAGCCACCUUUCAAAAAGCGUUAAAGCUUCAUUUUCAAAUAGUCAAAUACUAUUCCCCACUACAAACCCAUCCACACUAUUGAAUGACUUCAUAAAUUAUGAAGACCACCAUGCUAGAACUAGUAACAAGAAAAUGACUUUCUCCAAAGUGUGAACAUAAGCCAAAAUGGACAACCCACUGGCAUUUAACGAUAAUGAACUACUUAUAGCAACCCACUAAAAAAACCCUAUACCACCCCCCGUUAACCUUACACAAGUACACUCCUGGAAAGAUUAAAAGGGGGAGAAGGAACUCGGCAAAUUUUAGCCCCGCCUGUUUACCAAAAACAUCGCCUCUUGAAAAAAUGUAAGAGGUCCAGCCUGCCCAGUGAUUUAAUUCAACGGCCGCGUGACUUUAAACGCGCAAAGGUAGCAUAAUCACUUGUUCUUUAAAUGAGGACUCGUAUCAACGGCACCACGAGGGCUAUACUGUCUCCUCCCCCCAAUCAGUGAAACUAAUCUCCCUGUGAAAAAGCAGGAAUAACACUAUAAGACGAGAAGACCCCAUGGAGCUUAAAACACAGCAACAACCAUAGUACCAUUAACCCAUUAAAUUUCAAGCCCUGUCUGCCAGUUUUAGGUUGGGGUGACCGCGGAGCACAACAAAGCCUCCACAGCGAAAAGGGACUACCCCCUUAUCCAAGAGACACCACUCUAAGAAUCAACAAUAUGACGCCCAAUGACCCGAUCAUCGAUCAACGGACCAAGUUACCCUGGGGAUAACAGCGCAAUCUGCUUUAAGAGCCCAUAUCGACAAGUAGGCUUACGACCUCGAUGUUGGAUCAGGGUAUCCCAGUGGUGCAGCCGCUACUAAAGGUUUGUUUGUUCAACAAUUAAA
rnacentral:rRNA from 1 species